ensembl:snoRNA Gm23327 predicted gene, 23327
UCUGUUCAUCCCUAGAGCCUUAGCAGGUGUGGCUGCUGUGUCACAUAUGCAUCAGUAGGUGGCAGAGAGAGAGAGAAA